rnacentral:miRNA from 1 species
AAUACACGAUGCCCAGUUAAAUUUGAAAUCCAGAGACGCCAUGAUUAUUUUAAAAGGGUAAGUUUGUCCCAUGCAAUAUUUUGGACAUACUUAUACUAAAAAUUAUCUGUAUUUAUCUGAGAUGCAAAUUGAAUUGGGAGUCCUGUAUUUU